rnacentral:lncRNA from 1 species
AUGGCCUCUGAAUUGAUUGGGUCGGCCCUGCUAGGAACUAUAUCUCGUGAGACAAAUGUCUCAUAACAACAAAGGCAGAUUCAGAAUAAUCCUCUACCUCCACAAACUUAGCAAAGCUAGAUUAACAAGUCUAGGAUCCUUCACCCUUAAGCCAUCACCUUUUUAUCCUUACGCACAUCCGCCCACUUCACCCAAGAAACCUUGCUACACCUUUAUGACCCCUUAGAGAAACCACUUAUGCAAACCUCCAAAUUUCUACCACACCGAAAACAUGCAUCUUCAUGAAUGGAAAAAAGAACACGGUGGUAGAGUUCAACACCGAGUUCAAC